GGAUCAGUACGCUGGUCGUGCCUUGUGUAUGUACUGGUGUUACUGGUUCCUACCUUCUGACGAACCGUCAUGUCAUUAAUUUGGUGUGGCGGGGAAUCAGGACUGUUACUUUGAAAAAAUUAGAGUGUUUAAAGCAGGCUUUCAAGCUUGAACAUAUUAGCAUGGAAUAAUGAAAUAGGA
rnacentral:rRNA from 1 species